rnacentral:lncRNA from 1 species
CAAGAAUAAACCAAAAAUAAUCUGAAGAAAUUUCAUUCCUUCUGAGAGAGGCAAAUAGGAUGUAGAAACCCUGCCCAGCUGACUCAAAAUGAAAAGUCCAGAAGCAGUUGCCAAAACAUCUACCUCAAAGGGCACAUUUAAAUUGAAUGAGGAAUCCCAUCCCUACGUAAGGACCAAUGCUUUGGGACUGAAACACCAAUGAAAUGACAAAGCCUUUUGUUUUUCUAUUUUCACAGAGGGUUUUGAGUCAAAGGAUUUUUUCAACUAUUAGUUGUUCCAUGGGUACUAUUGAUCAAUGGAGUGGGAGAAAUUCCUCUUAUUGUUCACAUCUGAUUGUUUUCCUGAUUGCUUGCACCAUAGGCCUAACUUUGGAAGCCCACCUGUAUCACCACCUCCUGAAAUGAGACACAACUGUUUAACUGGACUGAUCUAUUCUCAGGACUAAGAGAUUGGUUUGGUGAGAUGGAGCAGUCUACCAACUAAAAUUCUGGACUGUGAAACUUCUUUGAGAAGUUUCAAAGGCAGGACUGAAGAAGCUCAAAAUGAGCCUUCCCAAAAUAAGACACUUUUGCAUGUGCAUUAUUUUGAGCUAGGGGCACUGGAGACUGUGUGAGUUCAAGAGAAAACUUUGCCCCUCCCUUAACUACCUAGAAGAAUUUAAAUUGGG